rnacentral:rRNA from 1 species
GGGGGAGGCAUCUUCUUAUUUUUAAGACCUAGCAAUAGGUAUGCUUAGAGAGGAGCUUGCGUCACAUUAGUUAGUUGGUGGGGUAAAAGCCUACCAAGACGAUGAUGUGUAGCCGGGCUGAGAGGUCGAACGGCCACAUUGGGACUGAGACACGGCCCAAACUCCUACGGGAGGCAGCAGUAAGGAAUUUUCGGCAAUGGAGGAAACUCUGACCGAGCAACGCCGCGUGAACGAUGAAGUAUUUCGGUACGUAAAGUUCUUUUAUUAGGGAAGAAAAGAUGGUGGAAAAACCAUUAUGACGGUACCUAGUGAAUAAGCCCCGGCUAACUAUGUGCCAGCAGCCGCGGUAAUACAUAGGGGGCAAGCGUUAUCCGGAAUUAUUGGGCGUAAAGGGUGCGUAGGCGGUUAAAUAAGUUUAUGGUCUAAGUGCAAUGCUUAACGUUGUGAUGCUAUAAAAACUGUUUAGCUAGAGUUGGAUAGAGGCAAGUGGAAUUCCAUGUGUAGUGGUAAAAUGCGUAAAUAUAUGGAGGAACACCAGAAGCGAAGGCGGCUUGCUGGGUCUUAACUGACGCUGAGGCACGAAAGCGUGGGGAGCAAACAGGAUUAGAUACCCUGGUAGUCCACGCCCUAAACGAUGAGUACUAAACGUUGGGUAAAACCAGUGUUGAAGUUAACACAUUAAGUACUCCGCCUGAGUAGUACGUACGCAAGUAUGAAACUUAAAGGAAUUGACGGGACUCCGCACAAGCGGUGGAUCAUGUUGUUUAAUUCGAAGGUACCCGAAAAACCUCACCAGGUCUUGACAUGCUUUUGCAAAGCUGUAGAAAUACAGUGGAGGUUAUCAAUUGCACAGGUGGUGCAUGGUUGUCGUCAGCUCGUGUCGUGAGAUGUUGGGUUAAGUCCCGCAACGAGCGCAACCCUUGUUGUUAAUUGCCAGCAUGUAAUGAUGGGGACUUUAGCAAGACUGCCAGUGAUAAAUUGGAGGAAGGUGGGGACGACGUCAAAUCAUCAUGCCCCUUAUGACCUGGGCUACAAACGUGAUACAAUGGCUGUUACAAAGGGUAGCUAAAGCGUAAGCUUUUGGCGAAUCUCAAAAAAGCAGUCUCAGUUCGGAUUGAAGUCUGCAACUCGACUUCAUGAAGUUGGAAUCGCUAGUAAUCGCGAAUCAGCAGUCGCGAUCACCUACA